rnacentral:tRNA from 1 species
GCCGCAGUGGCGGAACAGGAAGACGCGCCACGUUCAGGGCGUGGUGGGCAAUAGCCCGUGGGGGUUCAAAUCCCUCCUGCGGCACCA